GUGGAGCAUGUGGCUUAAUUUGACUCAACGCGGGGAAUCUUACUAGGUCCGGACCGAUUCUAUGAUCGUCGUACUGUGGGGUGCUACGUGAUUACUGGAUGAGUGGUGCAUGGCCGUUCUUAGUUCGUGGUGUCAGUUGUCUACUUAAUUGUCAUUGGUUCUCGUAUCUUACGGUACAGAACUGAUAACGAACGAGAUCGAGGCCCGUGGUUGUGUCGUUGGUUAUUAUUGUGUGCGGCAUUAACCACGGGGAUCGCGUAAUACUCCACGGUACGAUCGAAAGACUCGGCAAUAACAGGUCUGUGAUGCCCUCAGAUGUUCUAGGCUGCACACGUGCUACAUUGUGGUUUCGUUUGUAUGCGUAGAUAUCUAAGAUCCCCCGCACCGAGUCUAAAUUAAUCACUUGGUUGGACUCACCGUUUGUAAUUAUUCGGUAUACUAA
rnacentral:rRNA from 1 species